rfam:Schistosoma mansoni strain Puerto Rico chromosome 5, complete genome
GCAUUGCUAAGGAAUCCCAUAAUAGGACGAAACGGCCGUCCAGUGU